rnacentral:rRNA from 1 species
CGUACACUCCUGCGGGAGGCAGCAGUGGGGAAUAUUGGACAAUGGGCGCAAGCCUGAUCCAGCCAUGCCGCGUGAGUGAUGAAGGCCCUAGGGUUGUAAAGCUCUUUCACCGGAGAAGAUAAUGACGGUAUCCGGAGAAGAAGCCCCGGCUAACUUCGUGCCAGCAGCCGCGGUAAUACGAAGGGGGCUAGCGUUGUUCGGAAUUACUGGGCGUAAAGCGCACGUAGGCGGAUCGAUCAGUCAGGGGUGAAAUCCCAGGGCUCAACCCUGGAACUGCCUUUGAUACUGUCGAUCUGGAGUAUGGAAGAGGUGAGUGGAAUUCCGAGUGUAGAGGUGAAAUUCGUAGAUAUUCGGAGGAACACCAGUGGCGAAGGCGGCUCACUGGUCCAUUACUGACGCUGAGGUGCGAAAGCGUGGGGAGCAAACAGGAUUAGAUACCCUUGUAGUCCCAUGA